rnacentral:rRNA from 1 species
CACGUAGGGGGCAAGCGUUGUCCGGAUUUAUUGGGCGUAAAGAGCUCGUAGGCGGUUCGAUAAGUCGGGUGUGAAACCUCCAGGCUCAACCUGGAGACGCCACCCGAUACUGUUGUGACUGGAGUCCGGUAGGGGAGCGUGGAAUUCCUGGUGUAGCGGUGAAGUGCGCAGAUAUCAGGAGGAACACCAGCGGCGAAGGCGGCGCUCUGGGCCAGUACUGACGCUGAGGAGCGAAAGCGUGGGUAGCAAACAGG